rnacentral:rRNA from 1 species
UGCGAGCGUGACGGCGCGAGCAGGUGCGAAAGCAGGUCAUAGUGAUCCGGUGGUUCUGAAUGGAAGGGCCAUCGCUCAACGGAUAAAAGGUACUCCGGGGAUAACAGGCUGAUACCGCCCAAGAGUUCAUAUCGACGGCGGUGUUUGGCACCUCGAUGUCGGCUCAUCACAUCCUGGGGCUGAAGUAGGUCCCAAGGGUAUGGCUGUUCGCCAUUUAAAGUGGUACGCGAGCUGGGUUUAGAACGUCGUGAGACAGUUCGGUCCCUAUCUGCCGUGGGCGCUGGAGAACUGAGGGGGGCUGCUCCUAGUACGAGAGGACCGGAGUGGACGCAUCACUGGUGUUCGGGUUGUCAUGCCAAUGGCACUGCCCGGUAGCUAAAUGCGGAAGAGAUAAGUGCUGAAAGCAUCUAAGCACGAAACUUGCCCCGAGAUGAGUUCUCCCUGACUCCUUGAGAGUCCUGAAGGAACGUUGAAGACGACGACGUUGAUAGGCCGGGUGUGUAAGCGCAGCGAUGCGUUGAGCUAACCGGUACUAAUGAACCGUGAGGCUUAACC